GCCAUCUCUGUCACUAGUGGGAGCUGCAGAGGGCCAGCCUGGCGAGGAGGAGCGGGCAGGGCGCCGGCAUACUACCUGCAGCAGAGGUGACGGAGGACGCGGAGGCUGAGGGAGACAGAAAUCAUCCAUACAGUGUAAUAAAAGCACCAAGCGAAAGGGUUAGUGAACUUUACACAGUCAGAGACCGAAGAGACACAAGUGGAGCAUCAACGUCCACCUGUCAGCCGUCCUUCCUCCAUUCACAGCCUUCUGGAAGCGAUGAAAAGUGGACAGUGAGGUGUACGACUGGAGUGAGGAUCUGACAGUGCUGGAGACUUGGGACUAACGCAGGAAAAAAAUAAAGAAGAACAUCCAUCGCCUGGACUUUUAUUUCAUACAAGGGGAAAAAGGCAUCUUCCCUGCUGCAGAAGUUCUGCUACAGGAAUGGGCUGGUUUGAAGACCCAAGCUGGCAGCUGCAUGUCUCCUUGAUAAUGCUCCUGUCUCUGCAGA